rnacentral:rRNA from 1 species
UACUCCUACGGGAGGCAGCAGUGGGGAAUCUUGCGCAAUGGGCGAAAGCCUGACGCAGCCAUGCCGCGUGAAUGAUGAAGGUCUUAGGAUUGUAAAAUUCUUUCACCGGGGACGAUAAUGACGGUACCCGGAGAAGGAGCCCCGGCUAACUUCGUGCCAGCAGCCGCGGUAAU